rnacentral:rRNA from 1 species
GACGAACCGGACGAACGUUAUUCGGAAUUACUGGGCUUAAAGAGUUCGUAGGCGGCCAAGAAGGUGAGGUGUGAAAUCCCACGGCUCAACCGUGGAAUGGCGCUUCAAACCACUUGGCUGGAGGAAGGUAGGGGUGAGCGGAACUGAUGGUGGAGCGGUGAAAUGCGUUGAUAUCAUCAGGAACACCGGUGGCGAAGGCGGCUCACUGGACCGUUUCUGACGCUGAGGAUCGAAAGCCAGGGUAGCGAACGGG